GACGAACGCUGGCGGCGUGCUUAACACAUGCAAGUCGAACGGAAAGGCCCUGCUUUUGUGGGGUGCUCGAGUGGCGAACGGGUGAGUAACACGUGAGUAACCUGCCCUUGACUUUGGGAUAACUUCAGGAAACUGGGGCUAAUACCGGAUAGGAGCUCCUGCUGCAUGGUGGGGGUUGGAAAGUUUCGGCGGUUGGGGAUGGACUCGCGGCUUAUCAGCUUGUUGGUGGGGUAGUGGCUUACCAAGGCUUUGACGGGUAGCCGGCCUGAGAGGGGGACCGGCCACAUUGGGACUGAGAUAGGGCCCAGAAUCCUACGGGAGGCAGCAGUGGGGAAUAUUGCACAAUGGGCGGAAGCCUGAUGCAGCAACGCCGCGUGCGGGAUGACGGCCUUCGGGUUGUAAACCGCUUUCGCCUGUGACGAAGCGUGAGUGACGGUAAUGGGUAAAGAAGCACCGGCUAACUACGUG
rnacentral:rRNA from 1 species